GGAGAGAUGGCCGAGAGGUCGAAGGCGGUCGCCUGCUAAGCGAUUAAGCGGUUAACAGCUGCUUCGUGGGUUCAAAUCCCACUCUCUCCGCCA
rnacentral:tRNA from 1 species